GACAGUUUGUCCGAGUGGUCUAAGGCGCUGGCUUCAGGCGUCAGUCCGCAAAGGCGUGGGUUCGAAUCCUACAGCUGUUA
rfam:Perkinsus marinus ATCC 50983 gcontig_1104296277148, whole genome shotgun sequence.